rnacentral:rRNA from 1 species
GAUGAACGCUGGCGGCGUGCCUAAUACAUGCAAGUCGAGCGAAUGGAUUAAGAGCUUGCUCUUAUGAAGUUAGCGGCGGACGGGUGAGUAACACGUGGGUAACCUGCCCAUAAGACCGGGAUAACUCCGGGAAACCGGGGCUAAUACCGGAUAACAUUUUGAACCGCAUGGUUCGAAAUUGAAAGGCGGCUUCGGCUGUCACUUAUGGAUGGACCCGCGUCGCAUUAGCUAGUUGGUGAGGUAACGGCUCACCAAGGCAACGACGCGUAGCCGACCUGAGAGGGUGGUCGGCCACACGGGGACUGAGACACGGCCCAGACUCCUACGGGAGGUAGCAGUAGGGAAUCUUCCGCAAUGGACGAAAGUCUGACGGAGCAACGCCGCGUGAGUGAUGAAGGCUUUCGGGUCGUAAAACUCUGUUGUUAGGGAAGAACAAGUGCUAGUUGAAUAAGCUGGCACCUUGACGGUACCUAACCAGAAAGCCACGGCUAACUACGUGCCAGCCGCCGCGGUAA